CUUAGCACUACUAAACUGUACACUUGAAAAUGGAUAUAGUCGUAAAAUUUAUGUUAUCUGUAUUUUGUCACAAUAUUUAAAAAAUCACAUUCCCUGAAUAGCAUUUUUGAUUUCUGUAAUAUGGACAGAGACAGCAGAAUUAAUCUGGAUUUAAGUGAAAAGCCCACAUUCUAUUCCUGGCUUUGAAUUCAAACAAGUGUGACAUCCAAGAUUGGUUGAUGUCUCUAAACCUCAUCUCACUCAUAUGCCCCUUGAAUUCAUUCAUACAGGUACCUGCUUAGGUUCUAGGUCCUACUUCCGGGAACAGAGAUGAAUAAGAGGUGGCUUUCUGGGGAAGCUUGAUCUAAGAAAUCAUCUCUGAGCGUCUCUGGGAAGCCCCAAGGGACUCAGCAGGGGUGGUACUCCAGGCACAGCAGCAGUAUGCCCCAAAUUCCAAGCAAACAGGGGCCUAAGAAUUGUAGUGUUGAAGCUGGGCAGCAGAUAAGGACAGAAGCAGGACUCUGAGACAAGGACUUUAAGUGCAAUAACUUAUUUGGGAAGUGUUCCUAGGAAAUACUCCUGGAGGAAUGAGAAAGUGAUCCAGGGAAGAUAAGGCAGCCAGUAUAUAAUGUGCAUUCAAAUAAUUCAACAUGCGAAUGGGCAACUGAAGUUUAUUCCCUCUGGGAAGCUCCAGGAGGCAGCGCGGAAUAUACACCUCAAGUCACUCCGGCACAGCGGCAAGAGACCCGGGACGUAGUACGCCAGCUCCUGACAGUGAGUGGGUGAGGACAGUAGGGCUCAGUGAGGACAAACAACAUGAUUAUGGCAACCUGUGGACAGAAAGAACUGCGCUUUAGAGACCUAACUACUCAUGGCUCUUGGCCCUACAGCAGGGUGUUGUCUCUUCAAAUAUUUGACUAUAUCCAAAUCUUGUUGGCACCUUCAUGUACUAGACUCUUCUUCUGGGACAGAGGAACCCAUGAUUUGCCUUCAUCAAAGGUAACAAAAUAGUAACUAUGAGUCAGGGGAGAAUAGAAUGAAAAGAAUACCUCAAGGAGAAUAUUCCAGCUUCUCAUCUGCUGUCAGUAUUGGCUCCUGAAUAAGCUCAAGGGAAAUUUCUGUCUGUUCUGCACACCCUCCCACAGUCACAGAACAUUCUAACGGACACUUAUUUUAUGAAAAUUGUUUGUUGCUCUGCAUCUCUUAUAAUUACCUUAUGUAUUUAAGCAAUUAGCAAUCAGAACUCACAUCUUAUUGGUACCCAAGCAAAUGUGAAAUGUAAAAAUGCAAAUUGUAGAGAAUGAAAAUAGAUUUUAGGUUGUUUGCACAUAUGUUGAUUUCCAUGAACAAUUAAAACUUGCCAUAUUUGUAAUGAUUUUUAAAGGUGCCAAAGUAAAUAGAAUAAUUAUAUUAUCUAUGUGUGAAUUUAGUAAAAAGAGCAAGAAAAUUGUCAUUCUGAAUUUGAAAAGAGAAGCUAAUUUUGUCUUUAAUGUAGCUGAAAACAAGGGACACUAUGGAGUGAAUUUAAAUACACAUUUAACUGUAAAAAUCUUAACAUUCUCAUAGGUCAUAUGGCCAUCUUAAAAUGCCCUUUACAAAUUGAAGUUGUGGAAAAGGAAGUGGAAAGAGAUUAAAAUUAACAAGAGACUUGAACUUGAGGGUUAGUCUGAGAUUAAAACAGUAGCCAUGGACCAAGCAGUGGAAAGUGAAAUAGAACAUGAGAAUUUUCCCCAUUUUCUUUUGAGACUACAGUAUAUCAAAAGUCAGGAAAUACACUUUUUUUGUGACCAGCUGUGAAUGUCAAUUUAGACAAGUCACAUUAGCUCUCUGGUGAAAUUACUAUUUUAUAGAGCUACACCUCAGUAACUUUAGGAAGACAGUGGAAAUAUCCAAACAGUACUGACACCACAGAUUGCAGCCUUAUGGAAAGUUAAAUAGAUUCUGAAAGUAGAUGUCCAUUUUUCAUGGGAAAAGAAUUAUGCUUUUGUUUUUCUUUCCAACCAACUUCUUGUAUUAACAUGGGAUCUCGGCUACCAAAAUGGCCCGAUUAUUGGUUCUAUGGUAUGAACACAUAAAAACUAAUCCCUAUAGAUCAUAGAUGUAAAAAUUCCUGAAGAUCUUAACCUGUGUAAAAAUUGCCAUAUAUAUUUCUUUAAUAGAUUUAGAGUCAAAAACUGUAUUUCUAGCAGGGCUUUUGAAGUAUUGGGACAUUUCAUGGAAAAUGGCUCUCUUUUCCCUUUUAAGAACAGUGCACAUUUUUUAGAAGUUAAUUAAGAACAGCAUUAUUUCCUUUUUGACAACGAAUCAAUAAUAUCACUCCAGAGUGUUAAGCACCUUUCUCCAAAGAAUAUAUUCAAGUGAGAAAUCCAAUUUUUCUUGUACAUAAAAUUGCUAAUACAAUUUGUCUCUGUGACAAUGUAAAAUGAGUUAUCAAGUGUGGAGCAUAGAGUGUGUUUAUUUCAUCUGUUGAAAUUCAGAAGGAAGCAAGGAACGAGGGAAGCUUCAAUGUUAAGUUGCGGAGAGAAGCUUCAGUUGAGUUUCAAAACAGCAACGAUGAUGAUAAUGUAGACUAAGGGAGCAGGGCCCAUUUUGACGCUGAAUUUUGCUGUGGUCUGAAUGUUUACAUCUGCCACAGAUCUUGUGUUGAAAUCCUCAUCCCCAAGGUGGUGGUGUUCAGAGAUGAGGCCUUUGAGAGGUGAUUAAGUCAUAAGGGGGGUCCUUGUGAAUGGGAUUAGUGACCUUUCAAAGAAGCCCCAACAGCUGCCUUGUUCCUUUCACUACAACAGGACAAACAAAGAGGGUGCCAUCUGUGAAUCAGGAAGUGGGGCCUUACCAGACACUAAAUCUGCCAGUGCACUGAUCCUGGACUUCCCAGCCUUCAGAACCAUGAGAGAUACAUUUCUGUUGUUUCUAUGACAUUUUGUUAUAACGGCCCAAACAGAAUAAACAGGCUUGGAGCAGACAUUCAAGAGAGAACUCUGUGAACUCCAGAGUGCACUACAAAAGUCAGCUGAAGCAUGAUGAGCAGGAAAAAAAAUAUGAUGAGCAACAAGGAAAGAAUUUAAUUAGUGCAAAAGAAAAUGGUACAGAGCCAGGUGGCUCAGUGGCAAGAAUGGGGAGGAGAAUGUGGGAAUUGUGAACAGGAUGAAAGUGGCAGUCAGAGAUUGCAGAGGCUCUCAACAUGAGGUCAGAAUAGAGGGACCCAGUGAACCCCAGGGUGAUG
rnacentral:lncRNA from 1 species